AAAUUUUGUUAAAAAAAAAUCCUGUUUUUCCCCAUUUACCUAUAAAUUGUCUUAAGUUUUUCUGCCAGGAAACAUUACAUUCACUCUGUGGUAAAAGUUUUUAUAUGACUGCAAAAAUUUUUGGUCGUAUAUUGGUAUCACGUCGUCGUCUUCAGCGGCGUCCAAAGAUGGAUGGUUUCCGGAUAAUAACUUUAGUAUAAGUAAAUGGAAAUCAAUAAAAUGUUAACACAAUAUUUAUAACCACAAAAGGAAGGUUGGGAUUGAUUUUGGAGGCCCAAAACAUACAUUUAUCUUGUUUCAGGACAAUAAGUUGUGUAUUAGUAUUUCAAUUACUCUGAAAUUGUACCAUAAUGUUCAUACUAUUUAGUAGAAGGUUGGGAUUUCUUGUAAGGGUUAUGGGGCAAACAGUCAAGGAAUUAAGGCCUAAAAAGGGGCCAAAACAAGCA
rnacentral:lncRNA from 1 species